CAACAUCACCAACUCAAACCCCCCUGUCUCUCUCUUUCUCUCUCUCUCUUGCUCUCUCUUCUGUUUUUCUCGUUUCCUUUCAGUUUCUUUCUCUUCCUCUGUCUCUCCCUCUUGUCUCUCUCAAGGAACUCUCCACUGCUCCAGCAGCUUCCCCGGUUGGUUGGCGGUGUCAAUUUCUCUGCUCCGACUUCCCCCGCUGGUGGCUGGACCCUAGGACUCUCGCCGUCGGAUCUGGUGGAGACAGCGGCCUCUACUACUCUCUGCCUCGCGUAAUUCCGACAAACCAGGAAUGCGGGAUUAUGUAUGCUUUCUGAAGUCAUCUCGUUGAGGGUCGCAGAUGCUUCUUAGCUAUUAGAAGAGAAAUAUUGUACGAUCUGUAGACAAUAUUUUGCUGUAGACAAUAUUUUGCUGGCCAAUCAUUCAAAAUGGGGACAGGAGAAGAGACAACAGCUUCUAAAUCGUCUAAACCUGCUUCUUCUUCUCAGGAAAUACCUACAACUCCUGCAUAUCCUGAUUGGUCAAGCCCUAUGCAGGCUUAUUAUGGCACUGGCGCAACUCCACCUCCCUUUUUCGCUUCAACAGUUGCUUCCCCAACUCCUCACCCUUAUAUAUGGGGUGGCCAGCAUCCAAUGAUCCCACCAUAUGGAACCCCUGUUCCAUACCCUGCUAUUUACCCUCCUGGAGGAAUUUAUGCUCAUCCUAAUAUGGCUAUGACUCCAGGUUCAGCACUGGCCAACAACACUGAGGUGGAAGGAAAGGGUGCUGAUGGGAAAGAUGGCGCCUCAUCUAAAAAGAACAAGGCGGCUUCGGGAAAUGCAGGAUCAGGUGGGAACAAGACUGGAGAUGGUGCAAAAGUAACUUCAGGCUCAGGAAAUGACGGCGGUUCGCAAAGUGGAGAAAGUGGCAGUGAGGGUUCAUCAGAUGCUAAUGAGGAGAACAAUCAGCAGGAAUACGGUACAAGAGGCACCACACAGAACAAUUCAGCUGGAACGAAUGUUCAAGCCUCUGUGACUGGUAAGCCUGUAAAUUCCGGGCCUGCUACCAAUCUUAACAUAGGGAUGGACUUGUGGAACUCAUCUGCUGCUGCUGGAACUGCUAAAUUGAGACCAACACCCACCGGUUCAUCACCAAUGGUCCCCGGUGCAAUGAUCUCAGAUCAAUGGAUUCAAAAUUCAUUGCUAAACAGGAUGAGCGUGAACUUAAGAGACAACGGAGGAAGCAGUCCAACAGAGAGUCGGCUAGAAGGUCAAGAUUACGUAAGCAGGCGGAAUGUGAAGAGCUUCAAGGUAGGGUGGAGACAUUAACAAACGAAAAUCGCACACUCAGAGAAGAGCUCCAGAGGCUUUCCGAGGAAUGCGAGAAACUCACAUCCGAGAAUAGUUCCAUCAAGGAGGAACUAACCAGGAUUUGCGGGCCUGAGGCGGUGGCUACCCUAGAACAGAGCUCUGAGUCAGGUCAGUCUCGGGGGAAGGAGGAAUGAAGGCAAUGGUAGAGACAUGAGACGAUCGUCACGAUGGGGGUAGAAAAUUUACUUUUGGCUCGGUUGGGUCUAAGAGCCUCUCUUCUCUCACUAAUUCGAUACCUUUAACCCACUGUCCUCUUUGUAACUGUUAACUGAUUUUCACGGAAUUCUAACCUUCAAUGAGUCGAGGUCAUGUUGAUGAUGUGAUAUGUAUGCAAAGCAAUUGUUAGUAAAAAUCAAUUGGGUUGGGGGAGAGGAAUAGGUUUUUUUUUGGAAGUCACCCGUAUCCUCGUAGUUCUUUUUUUCGGCUUUUGUUAAUCUGAUCGUAGUGUAAUAUUGGCUCUUGGUUCUACUAUUGCUCAAUGCCGAAGGUAAUGGGAUUGUACUUGGAGGUAUACCUUUCUUGGCUUC